rnacentral:rRNA from 1 species
CAGUCGCCGCGGUAACACGAACCGUGCGAACGUUAUUCGGAAUUACGGGGCUUAAAGCGCGUGUAGGCGGGUCGGCACGUCGGUCGCUGAAAUCCCCCGGCUCAACCGGGGAAGUGGCGCCGAUACGGCCAGCCUGGAGGGGGGUAGGGGGGCCUGGAACUUCCGGUGGAGCGGUGAAAUGCGUUGAGAUCGGAAGGAACGCCCGUGGCGAAAGCGAGGCCCUGGACCCUUUCUGACGCUGAGACGCGAAAGCCAGGGGAGCGAACGGGAUUAGAUACCCCUGUAGUCCCUGUCUCUUAUA